GCGCGCUCGCUCCCCCGCUACGCUCGCGCACCGCACGGCAAGGCGCGGCCCCGCGCGUGGCUCUCUGCGUCCCCGCCCCUCGGCUCGCGGGGGAGAGGGGCGGGGCCAGCCUCGUUCCCACCCCGCAACGUCCAUAUAAAAGCGGCGAGCGCCCCACUCGACCUCUCUUUUCCUGCGGGGCUGGUGUGGCGGAGGGUAAGGCGGCUGUAGCGUGGGCAGCUUCCCCAGCCCUGGGCUUCGUUAUGUGCGCUUAGCCGAUCGGGGAGGCUCGCCCGCGUAGCGCUUGAGGCUGGGGAUGACGGGGUGCGGUUCGCCGUGCGUGUAGGGCUGGGCCGCAGCCGCGGCGUUAGCGCCCCGUUGCAGCAAAGGGGCCGGCGGGGCCGGUUCGGCGCCGGAAGCGGUGUCCCGCGGCGCGGGGCACGCCGGGAUGGGCGGCGGGUCACCAUUUUGCCCUGGUGCGGGCGGCGGCCGGCGGGGCCCUCCCGAGCCUGCGCCAUUUUGAUGUGUAAGCGGCCCGCCCGGCGGCGGGGGGGUGAGGGGCGCCGUGAAGGGUACCCUCGGGGUCUGAGGGAGGAAUGGUGCCCGCCAGACGGGGCUGGGAACAGCCCAUUGCCAGGGCGAGGCGGCCGGUCGCUUCGCACUCGGUUGGCGUUUGGAUUAGGACCUGAAGUGCUGGCUGAUGGCGGGGAAUUAAGUCGGCCUAAACACCACGGUGAGGGUAUGAUGGAGAAGAAGUUUUCAGUGGUGCUCAAUACAUUGUACAGAAGCACUAAGCCUUCCAUGGAAGCACCAUCGGAAGUAGAAGAAUACUUGGUACACACAAGUGGAUUUUCCUGAAAGCUAUAAUGGCAUAAACAGUUUCUAAUAAUGGGAAUGUCAGGUGUCCUGAUGAAAGAUUUCCUAACAAAUGUAGAACAACAGAAAGAG
rnacentral:lncRNA from 1 species